GAUGAACGCUGGCGGCGUGCUUAACACAUGCAAGUCGAACGAUGAAGCCCAGCUUGCUGGGUGGAUUAGUGGCGAACGGGUGAGUAACACGUGAGUAACCUGCCCUUAACUCUGGGAUAAGCCUGGGAAACUGGGUCUAAUACCGGAUAGGAGCGUCCACCGCAUGGUGGGUGUUGGAAAGAUUUAUCGGUUUUGGAUGGACUCGCGGCCUAUCAGCUUGUUGGUGAGGUAAUGGCUCACCAAGGCGACGACGGGUAGCCGGCCUGAGAGGGUGACCGGCCACACGGGGACUGAGACACGGCCCAGACUCCUACGGGAGGCAGCAGUGGGGAAUAUUGCACAAGGGGCGCAAGCCUGAUGCAGCGACGCCGCGUGAGGGAUGACGGCCUUCGGGUUGUAAACCUCUUUCAGUAGGGAAGAAGCGAAAGUGACGGUACCUGCAGAAGAAGCACCGGCGAACUACGU
rnacentral:rRNA from 1 species